rnacentral:rRNA from 1 species
AGUGGACGCGAGCAUCUUUGUGGCCAAGUUUUUUAGGGCACACGGUGGAUGCCUUGGCAUCAGGAGCCGAUGAAGGACGUGGGAGGCUGCGUUAAGCCUCGGGGAGUCGCCAACCAGACGUUGAUCCGGGGAUGUCCGAAUGGGGAAACCUAGCACCAGUCAUGUGGUGUUGCCGCCGCCUGAAUGUAUAGGGCGGUUGGUGGUAACGCGGGGAAGUGAAACAUCUCAGUACCCGUAGGAGAAGAAAACAAUUUAGUGAUUCCGUGAGUAGUGGUGAGCGAAAGCGGAGGAGGCUAAACCGUGCGCGUGUGAUAGCCGGCGGGCGUUGCGUGUGCGGGGUUGUGGGACCUUCCGGGGGAGACCGCCGUCUCUUCAGGCAGUGAGAAAUCGGUGGGGUAGUCGAACGCUCUGGGAAGGGCGGCCGUAGACCGUGAGAGCCGGGUAGGCGAAACCUUGUCGACUGUUGGGAGUGUUCCCGAGUAGCACGGGGCCCGAGAAAUCCUGUGUGAAUCUGCCAGGACCACCUGGUAAGCCUAAAUACUUCCUGAUGACCGAUAGUGGACUAGUACCGUGAGGGAAAGGUGAAAAGCGCCCCGGUGAGGGGUCGUGAAAUAGUACCUGAAACCGUGUGCCUACAAGCCGUAGGAGCGUAGACGACUUUCGGGUCGUUUGUGAUGUGACUGCGUGCCUUUUGAAGAAUGAGCCUGCGAGUUAUGGUGUGUGGCGAGGUUAACCCGUGUGGGGGAGCCGUAGGCAAGCUUGCUUGUCUGUGAUGUGACUGCGUGCCUUUUGAAGAAUGAGCCUGCGAGUUAUGGUGUGUGGCGAGGUUAACCCGUGUGGGGGAGCCGUAGCGAAAGCGAGUCUGAAUAGGGCGCUUAUAGUCGCAUGCUGUAGACCCGAAGCGGGGUGAUCUACGCAUGGGCAGGUUGAAGCGCGGGUAAGACCGCGUGGAGGACCGAACCCACCAGGGUUGAAAACCUGGGGGAUGACCUGUGUGUAGGGGUGAAAGGCCAAUCAAACUCCGUGAUAGCUGGUUCUCCCCGAAAUGCAUUUAGGUGCAGCGUUGCGUGGUGCUUGCCGGAGGUAGGGCUCUGGUUGGCUGAUGGGCCCGACAAGGUUACUGACGUCAGCCAAACUUCGAAUGCCGGUAAGUUGAGCGUGGCAGUGAGACUGCGGGGGAUAAGCUCCGUGGUCGAGAGGGAAACAGCCCAGAUCACCGACUAAGGCCCCUAAGCGUGUGCUAAGUGGGAAAGGAUGUGGAGUCGCAGUGACAACCAGGAGGUUGGCUUAGAAGCAGCCACCCUUGAAAGAGUGCGUAAUAGCUCACUGGUCAAGUGAUUCUGCGCCGACAAUGUAGCGGGGCUCAAGUACACCGCCGAAGUCGUGGCACUGCCAGUUUGCUGGUGGUGGGUAGGGGAGCGUCGUGCGAGCCGGUGAAGCCGCCGAGUGAUCGUGUGGUGGAGGUCGUACGAGUGAGAAUGCAGGCAUGAGUAGCGAGUCAGAAGUGAGAAUCUUCUGCGCCGAAUGACCAAGGGUUCCUGGGGCAGGUUCGUCCGCCCAGGGUAAGUCGGGACCUAAGGCGAGGCCGACAGGCGUAGUCGAUGGACAACGGGUUGAUAUUCCCGUACCCGCUGUGAUGCGCCCAUAUCGAAUCCAGUGAUACUAAGGGUCCUUAAGCCGGUUGGCUCUUCGGAGCCGGCGUCAGGGUGAACGCCUGGCCUGAUCUGGUAGUAGGUAAGCGAUGGGGUGACGCAGGAAGGUAGCCCAGCCCGGGCGGUGGUUGUCCCGGGGUAAGCAUGUAGGGAGAGAGAUAGGCAAAUCCGUCUCUCAUGUAUCCUGAGGUGUGAUGCCGAGCCGAUUGUGGCGAAGUGGGUGAUCCUAUGCUGCCGAGAAAAGCCUCUAGUGAGUGUCGCGGCGGCCCGUACCCUAAACCGACUCAGGUGGUCAGGUAGAGAAUACCAAGGCGGUCGGGUGAACUGUGGUUAAGGAACUCGGCAAAUUGCCCCCGUAACUUCGGGAGAAGGGGGACCUUUACUGGUGAUGGAACUUGCUUCUUGAGCUGGUGGGGGUCGCAGUGGCCAGGGGGAAGCGACUGUUUACUAAAAACACAGGUCCGUGCGAAGUCGUAAGACGAUGUAUACGGACUGACGCCUGCCCGGUGCCGGAACGUUAAGGGGACCGCUUAGCCAGCCUUGUGUUGGCGAAGGUGAGAACUUAAGCGCCGGUAAACGGCGGUGGUAACUAUAACCAUCCUAAGGUAGCGAAAUUCCUUGUCGGGUAAGUUCCUUUUGGGGUGCGAAGGUGAGAACUUAAGCGCCGGUAAACGGCGGUGGUAACUAUAACCAUCCUAAGGUAGCGAAAUUCCUUGUCGGGCUCUUCGGGGUGCGAAGGUGAGAACUUAAGCGCCGGUAAACGGCGGUGGUAACUAUAACCAUCCUAAGGUAGCGAAAUUCCUUGUCGGGUCCGACCUGCACGAAUGGCGUAACGACUUCCCCGCUGUCUCAACCACAGGCCCGGUGAAAUUGCAGUACGAGUAAAGAUGCUCGUUUCGCGCAGCAGGACGGAAAGACCCCGGGACCUUCACUACAGCUUGACAUUGGCGUUUGGAGCGUCUUGUGUAGGAUAGGUGGGAGACUGGGAAGCGGUAACGCUAGUUACCGUGGAGUCAUUGGUGAAAUACCACUCUGGUCGUUUUGGACGUCUAACCCGCGCCCGUGAAUCCGGGUGGGGGACAGUGUCUGGUGGGUAGUUUAACUGGGGCGGUUGCCUCCUAAAAGGUAACGGAGGCGCCCAAAGGUUCCCUCAGCCUGGUUGGCAAUCAGGUGUCGAGUGUAAGUGCACAAGGGAGCUUGACUGUGAGACUGACGGGUCGAGCAGGAGCGAAAGCUGGGACUAGUGAUCCGGCAUCGGCGUGUGGAAGCGGUGUCGCUCAACGGCUAAAAGGUACCCCGGGGAUAACAGGCUGAUCUUCCCCAAGAGUCCAUAUCGACGGGAUGGUUUGGCACCUCGAUGUCGGCUCGUCGCAUCCUGGGGCUGGAGUAGGUCCCAAGGGUUGGGCUGUUCGCCCAUUAAAGCGGUACGCGAGCUGGGUUUAGAACGUCGCGAGACAGUUCGGUCCCUAUCCGCUGCGCGCGCAGGAGACUUGCGAGGGGCUGUCCCUAGUACGAGAGGACCGGGACGGACGAACCUCUGGUGUGCCAGUUGUUCCGCCAGGAGCACGGCUGGUUGGCUACGUUCGGUAGGGAUAACCGCUGAAAGCAUCUAAGCGGGAAGCUCGCCUCAAGAUGAGGUCUCCCACCACGAGAGUGGGUAAGGCUCCCUAUAGACGAUGGGGUUGAUAGGCCGGAAGUGGAAGCGUAGUAAUGCGUGGAGCUGACCGGUACUAAUAGGCCGAGGACUUGACCAUAU